rnacentral:rRNA from 1 species
UACAGAGGUGGCAAGCGUUGUUCGGAAUUACUGGGCGUAAAGGGCGCGUAGGCGGCCUUCUAAGUCGGACGUGAAAUCCCCCAGGCUUAACUUGGGAACUGCGUCCGAUACUGGAGGGCUUGAGUGCGGGAGAGGGAUGUGGAAUUCCAGGUGUAGCGGUGAAAUGCGUAGAUAUCUGGAGGAACACCGGUGGCGAAGGCGGCAUCCUGGACCGACACUGACGCUGAUGCGCGAAAGCCAGGGGAGCAAACGGG